CCCACACAGCUACCAAGAUCUUAAGUUAUAUUUCAUGUACUCCUUCUUGCCUCUGGGUGAGAGAACUGGCCAUACUUUAAAGAAAAGGAGAGUGUUGGUUUAAACAGAUGGCUUUGUGUCCUGCUUGAUUCAAGAGUCACCAUAGCAACAAGGAAAGAGGGCUGUUGCUUAGCAACUGGCAACAUUAACAAAGAAAUUUCCAAACUGUAUUUAGAAAAAAAUAGUGCUUGGAAGAAGUUCAGGUCUUGGAAUAAAUGAAUACCAAAAUUCUUUUAUGAAACAUGCUGAGUAUAUAAUCACAAGUCCAGAAGGUUGGAGGAAAUAUCAGAAAUAGCACGAGGAAAGAAACUGAGUGUAAAACUUCUUCCUUUUUUAUGCAGCUAUGAAUAGUGAAAUUGUGCAAGCUUUCAAAUUAGCAGAAGCACAGCUUUGUAAUGGCUGCAAGGUCGUCUGUCUGUUGGCAGUGCCUAUUACGGCCUAAUCACCAUAUUUGUUUUGUGCUCCCAGAGGCAGAGCUGACAAUUUUUCCCCAGGAGAGAUCUUCUGGAACCUCAGCUUUCCAUGACUCUUAUUGCAUUGAUGAUCAUCUGUC
rnacentral:lncRNA from 1 species